rnacentral:tRNA from 1 species
GGGGCAUUAGCUCAGAUGGUGGAGCACUUAUUUAACAUGCAAGAGAAAGCAGGAUUGAUACCUGCUUUCUCCG